rnacentral:rRNA from 1 species
UACGUAGGGCGCAAGCGUUGUCCGGAAUUAUUGGGCGUAAAGAGCUCGUAGGCGGUGUGUCGCGUCGGAUGUGAAAGCCCGGGGCUUAACCCCGGGUCUGCAUUCGAUACGGGCAGACUGGAGUGUGGUAGGGGAGAUCGGAAUUCCUGGUGUAGCGGUGGAAUGCGCAGAUAUCAGGAGGAACACCGAUGGCGAAGGCAGGUCUCUGGGCACUUACUGACGCUGAGGAGCGAAAGCGUGGGGAGCGAACAGG